rnacentral:lncRNA from 1 species
CAAAAGACAACCACACUCCGCAGCCGCCAGUCCUCCUCUACUCCACAGCCGACAGCCACCAUCUCUUCGUAUCGGCGUCACCAUCUCCUGCUUCAGCAUUAAUCGGCGCCACUAGGAGCAGGGUAGGUCGACUGUGCAGUAACUCCUCAAUUUCACGCGCCGGCAGCUCCUUCCUCUUUCGCACACCGGGUCUGUCCUCCACGAUUUUUUUUAAUUGUUUAGUUCUGAAAUGCUUCUUUGUAUUUGAAAAUUUAAAGAAUUCAAGACUAUUGUUAUGGUUAUAAGAAGCUAAUAGCAAAACAGAGAUGGUAUAUGCUUGUUCAUCAGCCAAACCCUUAUUGUCACUCAUGCGCAGGGGAGGUACCUUCAACUUGGGACGGGUGUAGGAAUUAUAUUCAUAAACGGAUUCGAGUUUGGGUACCUCCUCAAUUUCACGGGUACCGUACCAGUUUACAUCCCUAUGGACAUGAAACCCUCAAUUUCACGGUUUCCAUACUCAAGAAAGUUUGCCUUUAUAUAGUAAUUGCUUAUUUGAGAAUCUUUUGAGUUUAAUACUGAAUAAUUUUGCGUCAGAGUAGUCUCAAUUGCAGAGUGGACCAUAUUAGGGGAUUGAACCAGUUGGCACCACUCUUUAUUCCUAUCUCAUGCAGCUACAUGCUACAUAUAACAAUCUUGCCAUUUUGCUUCCCUAUUUCCUUCUACCAG